rnacentral:rRNA from 1 species
GUACGCUGGCGGCACGCCUAACACAUGCAAGUCGAACGAAGUAGCAAUACUUAGUGGCGAACGGGUGAGUAUAAUGUGGGUAUCUGCCUUUUGGUUUGGAAUAACACGGGGAAACUUGUGCUAAUACCGGAUAAGCCUUCACAGGGAAAGUUUUAACGCCAAAAGAUGAGCCCGCACUUGAUUAGCUAGUUGGUAAGGUAAUGGCUUACCAAGGCUACGAUCAAUAGCUGAUCUGAGAGGAUGAUCAGCCACAUUGGGACUGAGACACGGCCCAAACUCCUACGGGAGGCAGCAGUGGGGAAUCUUGCACAAUGGGGGAAACCCUGAUGCAGCGAUGCCGCGUGAGUGAAGAAGGCCUUUGGGUUGUAAAGCUCUUUCGUCGGGGAAGAAAAUGACUGUACCCGAAUAAGAAGGUCCGGCUAACUUCGUGCCAGCAGCCGCGGUAAUACGAAGGGACCUAGCGUAGUUCGGAAUUACUGGGCUUAAAGAGCUCGUAGGUGGUUAGAAAAGUUGGUGGUGAAAUCCCAAGGCUUAACCUUGGAACUGCCAUCAAAACUUUUUAACUAGAGUGUGAUAGAGGAAAGUGGAAUUUCUAGUGUAGAGGUGAAAUUCGUAGAUAUUAGAAAGAACACCAAUUGCGAAGGCAACUUUCUGGAUCACUACUGACACUGAGGAGCGAAAGCAUGGGUAGCGAAGAGGAUUAGAUACCCUCGUAGUCCAUGCCGUAAACGAUGUGUGCUAGACGUUGGAAACUUAGUUUUCAGUGUCGCAGCAAAAGCGUUAAGCACACCGCCUGGGGGAGUACGACCGCAAGGUUAAACUCAAUGAAUUGACGGGGACCCGCACA